rnacentral:tRNA from 1 species
GGGUGCGUAGUAUAGUAGGGUAAUACGUCGGACUUUUAAUCCGAAAAUCGGGGGUUCAAUUCCCUUCGCACUCA